AUAGAACGCUGGCGGCAGGCCUAACACAAGCAAGUCGAGCGAGCGGCGGACGGGUGAGUAAUGUAUGGGGACUGCCCGAUAGAGGGGGAUAAAUACUGGAAACGGUGGCUAAUACCGCAUACUAUCGGAUAACCCAUAUGGGAUUAGCUAGUAGGUGGGGGAAAGGCUCACCUAGGCGACGAGCUCUAGCUGGUCUGAGAGGAUGAUCAGCCACACUGGGACUGAGACACGUCCCAGACUCCUACGGAGGCAGCAGUGGGGAAUAUUGCACAAUGGGCGAAAGCCUGAUGCAGCCUUGCCGCGUGUAUGAAGAAGGCCUUAGGGUUGUAAAGUACUUUCAGCGGGGAGGCGUUACCCGCUGAAGAAGCACCGGCUAACUCCGUGCGAGCAGCCGCGGUAAUAC
rnacentral:rRNA from 1 species